GACGAACGCUGGCGGCGUGCCUAAUACAUGCAAGUAGAACGCUGAAGGAGGAGCUUGCUUCUCUGGAUGAGUUGCGAACGGGUGAGUAACGCGUAGGUAACCUGCCUGGUAGCGGGGGAUAACUAUUGGAAACGAUAGCUAAUACCGCAUAAUAGUAGAUGUUGCAUGACAUUUGCUUAAAAGGUGCAAUUGCAUCACUACCAGAUGGACCUGCGUUGUAUUAGCUAGUUGGGGGGGUAACGGCUCACCAAGGCGACGAUACAUAGCCGACCUGAGAGGGUGAUCGGCCACACUGGGACGGAGACACGGCCCAGACUCCUACGGGAGGCAGCAGUAGGGAAUCUUCGGCAAUGGACGGAAGUCUGACCGAGCAACGCCGCGGGAGGGAAGAAGGUUGUCGGAUCGUAAAGCUCGGUUGUAAGAGAAGAACGAGUGUGAGAGUGGAAAGUUCACACUGUGACGGUAUCUGACCAGAAAGGGACGGCUAACUACGUG
rnacentral:rRNA from 1 species